UACGAAGGGGGCUAGCGUUGUUCGGAAUUACUGGGCGUAAAGCGCACGUAGGCGGAUUGUUAAGUUAGGGGUGAAAUCCCAGGGCUCAACCCUGGAACUGCCUUUAAUACUGGCAAUCUCGAGUCCGAGAGAGGUGAGUGGAAUUCCGAGUGUAGAGGUGAAAUUCGUAGAUAUUCGCAAGAACACCAGUGGCGAAGGCGGCUCACUGGCCCGGUACUGACGCUGAGGUGCGAAAGCGUGGGGAGCAAACAGG
rnacentral:rRNA from 1 species